GCCCUGACAGCAGCAGUGAAAGAUGAUGAAGAAAAAACACAGAAGUGGAAGUAAGGCCAGGUACUGCUCUCCCCACAGGGUCUGGAGGUGAACCUGCCUGAAUGCACUGGGACUUUGCUGCCCUCUGACAACGAACUGUGAGUGGGAUGCAGCGAAGGGAAGGGAUAAAAUGGUGUGCUAAAGGUUCCUUGGACAUUCACGCUGGCAAGUGGACAAACUGAGAUGAAGGACACUGUGAAGAUGCUUUGGGAUGUUUGUCAAGUAAUACAGGACAAAAGGCAAGAACUGGUACUGAAGAAACAAUUUGCAGCUGAAGAAGCUGAAUGUGAAGCUGUGGUCUUGUGCUCAUCUAAAGCUGCAGUAGUUUGGUCUUGCACUUAAGGCACUGGACUCAGAAUCAGAAGAUCUGGAUACAGUUUCUGGCUCUGCGAGAUUUUCUGCCUACCCCCGCUGCAAGUCACUUAAUGUCUCUGUGGCUAAAUUCCCCAUCUAAAAAUCGGGGAUAAUAAUAAGCUGUUCACGACUUUUUCCAAUUUGUCCACAUCUCUACUGAAAUUUGGCACCAAGAACUGAACGCAAUACUCCAGCUGAGGCCUUAUCAGCGCAGAACAGACUGGAAGAAUUACUUCUCAUGUUUUGCUUACAAC